GUCCUUUUUGUCCUAACACUUCUUGUGCCAGCGGCCUUCGCAUCCACUACGACCGGUGGAUGCGUCAAUGUAACUCUACCAGGGAUCCUGAACCUUGGAACGUGCUUCGGAACAUCGCUUAACCUGUGUUCAACAUCUGCG